rnacentral:rRNA from 1 species
CACAACAAUAAGCGGAGGAAAAGAAACCAACAGGGAUUGCCCUAGUAACGGCGAGUGAAGCGGCAACAGCUCAAAUUUGAAAUCUGGCUUCGGCCCGAGUUGUAAUUUGCAGAGGAUGUUUCUGGCGCGGUGCCUUCCGAGUUCCCUGGAACGGGACGCCACAGAGGGUGAGAGCCCCGUAUGGUUGGACACCAAGCCUGUGUGAAACUCCUUCGACGAGUCGAGUAGUUUGGGAAUGCUGCUCAAAAUGGGAGGUAAAUCUCUUCUAAAGCUAAAUACCGGCCAGAGACCGAUAGCGCACAAGUAGAGUGAUCGAAAGAUGAAAAGCACCUUGAAAAGGGGGUUAAACAGUACGUGAAAUUGUUGAAAGGGAAGCGCUUGUGACCAGACUUGUGCCGGGCGGUUCAUCCGGGGUUCUCCCCGGUGCACUCCGCCCGGCUCAGGCCAGCAUCGGUUCUCGUUGGGGGAUAAGAACGGUAGGAACGUGGCCCUCCUUCGGGUGGGUGUUAUAGCCUGCCGUACGAUACCCUGACGGGGACCGAGGUUCGCGCUCCGCAAGGAUGCUGGCGUAAUGGUCAUCAGCGACCCGUCUUGAAACACGGACCAAGGAGUCGUCCAUUAGAGCGAGCGUUUGGGUGUCAAACCCGCACGCGUAAUGAAAGUGAAAUUAGGUGAGAGCUUCGGCGCAUCAUCGACCGAUCCUGAUGUUCUCGGAUGGAUUUGAGUAAGAGUUUUAACGGACGGACCCGAAAGACAGUGAACUAUGCUUGUAUAGGGUGAAGCCAGAGGAAACUCUGGUGGAGGCUCGCAGCGGUUCUGACGUGCAAAUCGAUCGUCAAAUAUGAGCAUGGGGGCGAAAGACUAAUCGAACUGUCUAGUAGCUGGUACGCGGUUUUCCCCUCUCUCACUAGAGAGAAAAAAAAA